GCCAGGGUAGCUCAGUCGGUUAAGUGUCCGACUUCCGCUCGGGUCAUGAUCUUACUGCCUAUGGGUUCGAGCCCCAUGCUGGGCU
rnacentral:tRNA from 1 species